rnacentral:rRNA from 1 species
UACGGGAGGCAGCAGUGGGGAAUAUUGCACAAUGGGCGCAAGCCUGAUGCAGCCAUGCCGCGUGUAUGAAAAAGGCCUUCGGGUUGUAAAGUACUUUCAGUCGUGAGGAAGGUGUUAAGGUUAAUAACCUUAGCAAUUGACGUUAGCGACAGAAGAAGCACCGGCUAACUCCGUGCCAGCAGCCGCGGUAAUACGGAGGGUGCGAGCGUUAAUCGGAAUUACUGGGCGUAAAGGGCACGCAGGCGGUUAAUUAAGUUGGAUGUGAAAUCCCCGGGCUUAACCUGGGAAUGGCAUUCAAGACUGGUUAGCUAGAGUCUUGUAGAGGGGGUAGAAUUCCAUGUGUAGCGGUGAAAUGCGUAGAGAUGUGGAGGAAUACCGGUGGCGAAGGCGGCCCCUGGACAAAGACUGACGCUCAUGUGCGAAAGCGUGGGGAGCAAACGAGGGAU